UACGUAGGGUGCAAGCGUUGUCCGGAAUUAUUGGGCGUAAAGAGCUCGUAGGUGGUCUGUCGCGUCGGCUGUGAAAACCCGUGGCUCAACCCCGGGCCUGCAGUCGAUACGGGCAGACUAGAGUGCGGUAGGGGAGACUGGAAUUCCUGGUGUAGCGGUGAAAUGCGCAGAUAUCAGGAGGAACACCGGUGGCGAAGGCGGGUCUCUGGGCCGUAACUGACGCUGAGGAGCGAAAGCGUGGGGAGCGAACAGG
rnacentral:rRNA from 1 species